rnacentral:rRNA from 1 species
UACGGAAGGGCAAGCGUUGUUCGGAAUCAUUGGGCGUAAAGGGCGCGUAGGUGGUCUUGUGUGUCUACUGUGAAAGCGUACAGCUUAACUGUAUUUUGUCGGUAGAAACUGCAGGACUCGAGGCUGGGAGGGCUGGUGGAAUUCCCUGUGUAGCGGUGAAAUGCGUAGAUAUCGUAAGGAAGACCAGUGGCGAAGGCGGGUCUCCUGGACAGUUCCUGACGCUGAGGCACGAAGGUCAGGGAGCAAACGGG